CCUACGGGAGACUGCAGUGGGGGAUAUUGCACAAUGGGGGGAACCCUGAUGCAGCGACGCCGCGUGGGUGAAGAAGCGCCUCGGCGCGUAAAGCCCUGUCAGCAGGGAAGAAAAUGACGGUACCUGAAGAAGAAGCCCCGUCUAACUACGUGCCAGCAGCCGCGGCAAUACGUAGGGGGCAAGCGUUAUCCGGAUUUACUGGGUGUAAUGGGGGCGCAGACGGCGAUGCAAGCCAGUAGUGAAAGCCCGGGGCCCAACCCCGGGACUGCUCUUGGAACUGCGUGGCUGGAGUGCAGGAGAGGCAGGCGGAAUGCCUGGGGUAGCGGUGAAAUGCGUAGAUAUCAGGAGGAACACCGAUGGCGAAGGCGGCCUGCUGGACUGCAACUGACGUUGAGGCCCGAAAGCGUGGGGAGCAAACAGGAUUAGAUACCCUGGUAGUC
rnacentral:rRNA from 1 species